rnacentral:rRNA from 1 species
UGCCAGCCGCCGCGGUAAUACGAAGGUCCCAAGCGUUGUUCGGAAUCACUGGGCGUAAAGCGUGUGUAGGCUGCGCGGAAAGUCAAAUGUGAAAGCCCGGGGCUCAACCUCGGAACUGCAUUCGAUACUCCCGUGCUAGAGUAAUGGAGAGGUAAGUGGAAUUCCUGGUGUAGCAGUGAAAUGCGUGGAUAUCAGGAGGAACAUCAAUGGCGAAGGCAGCUUACUGGGCCGCUAUCGACGCUGAGGAGCGAAAGCUAGGGGAGCAAACAGGACUAGAUA